rnacentral:piRNA from 1 species
UAACAGACAGUAGUUUAAAUU